GCUACAAGUCUAACACCCUUUUCGUUCUUUCCCGUUCUUUUUCCUUCCUUCUCCUUCAACUACGAUACAAGACCCAUUCUCAUCUCUCCGGGAUCUGGCCCCUUACGGCUGCCAGGCCGCCGAGGAGGUCUUGUUGACCCAGUACGCGCCUCCGCAGCUUCCCUGCCUCCUCUUUGCGGCUCCCUUUUCCCUCCACCUGCUGUGGGUCCCCGGCCCACGCCGACCCCCCACCCACCGCACUGAGCACGUACGCAGCGGAGCCGAGCUGAGCGCCGGAAGCUCGAGCCGGCGGGUGGCGCGCGGUUCGUCUUUCCCGUUUUGCUGCCGCUGCGGAUGCUGCUCAAUCAACUGGAUGGUUCCUCAAGGGCCUAAAACCUAAAGACGACCAAGUAAUUUACAAGUCCCAGGAGAGCGUCCUGGUGAAUGUCUGACCCUGUUCUCGGCGUGGGGACAUUAGAACGACCAUCGACCCGACCCCUGCCGUCGUGGAACCUCCCUGCCGGGCAGAGGAACCCGAAGGAAGUGGAAGCACCCCACCAGCCUCGAAGGGGUUGGAGGACCAGAAAGUGGGGCAGAAACUAUAUCAUGGAGAAUCAAAGCAAAAUCAUGAUGGUCUCUCCAACCACAUGUGCAAGAAGUUCGGUGCACUGCAAGCCAGGUAAGGACAAGAAGGUCACACCCCUAAACUGCUGAACAACCAAGAGCAGCUGAAAACAAUCACAGCAGCACCCAGAUUGGGGUGUGGGGAGGAGGGGACACUCCUAUGACCUCGUCCAAAGAUUGGGAGCUGAAAUCUCAGCAAAAACAUGAAGAACAAGACCUCAAUGAAGGGCCAGAGCAGUAUGAUUUCCAGCCACCGCGUGCUGUCCCCGACCCAGUAUCUUUCAAGGGCUUUUCGUCUUCACUUUGUUCCCAGUGCUGAAGGCCCCCCUGAAAGUGGCUGUGGUCACACCGAGUCUCAACACCAGCCUAUUCGGGAGACUCCAAGGCAGCCCACCCAAGAAUCACUCAAAACGCCAGAUUUCACUGGAGCGUGUUGGCCGCGGACCUCCUGUCAGUGGCUUUAAAGCAGCGCAGGCAGGAGCCCGAGGGACCCCCUUCGCCCAGAGGACACCAAAGAGACUCCGCUCUGCCGGGAGGGCCGCGGGGCGGCGCAGAGCCAACGGGCUGGCGGAGGAAGAGCGCGCACCGGACGUCUGCCCCGGGGCCCCUCGUCCUGGAGGCGGACGCCCUGCGUUCGGUGCGAUUCCCGAGGCCAGGCUGCUGAGGGCGCUAGGGUCCCGUCCUCGGGGGCGGCGCGGCGGUCCUUUGCCGGGGCUGCUUGGGGGGCGCGGGCUCCUCGCUCGCAGGGGCGCGGCUGUUUCCAGGGCCUUGGGCGGUUCGAGCGAAGUCGGCGGGGCGGAUAGUUGUGGCCGAAAUGCCGCUUUUGGGGGUUAGAGCCGGAGACCAGGCCGCCUGCCUCGUUUCCGUAGUGUAGUGGUUAUCACGUUCGCCUCACACGCGAAAGGUCCCCGGUUCGAAACCGGGCGGAAACAGCUUCCUUUUACCACUACCCCCCCCCCCCAACCCCCCCCC